CCCCUUUGGCUUGUUCGGAGGGGGGCUUACGUUUUCACACAAACUUUGUAUGCAGUGUAGAAUGUAUUUUUUGUUUUUGCGAUCACGCAAUCAAUACAACUUUCAACAACGGAUCUCUUGGCUCUCGCAUCGAUGAAGAACGCAGCGAAAUGCGAUACGUAAUGUGAAUUGCAGAAUUCAGUGAAUCAUCGAAUCUUUGAACGCACCUUGCGCCCCUUGGCAUUCCGAGGGGCACACCCGUUUGAGUGUCGUGAAAUUCUCAAAAACCUUUUUCUUUUUGGGAAAGGGUUUUUGGACUUGGAGGCUUUUUGCUGGCUUCACCUUGAAGUGAGCUCCUCCUAAAUGAAUCAGUGGGGUCCGCUUUGCCGAUCCUUGACGUGAUAAGAUGUUUCUGCGUCUUUGGGUUUGGCACUGUCACCUGCUUCUAACUGUCUCAUUGACAAUGAUGGUGCUCCGGUCACCACCGCUCUUAUCGGUGGGAGGCUUGACCCACAAAAACAAAACCUUGACCUCAAAUCGGGUGAGACUACCCGCUGAACU
rnacentral:misc_RNA from 1 species